rnacentral:rRNA from 1 species
UACGGGGGGGGGCAAGCGUUGUUCGGAAUUACUGGGCGUAAAGGGCUUGUAGGUGGCCAACUAAGUCAGACGUGAAAUCCCUCGGCUUAACCGGGGAACUGCGUCUGAUACUGGAUGGCUUGAGUUUGGGAGAGGGAUGCGGAAUUCCAGGUGUAGCGGUGAAAUGCGUAGAUAUCUGGAGGAACACCGGUGGCGAAGGCGGCAUCCUGGACCAAGACUGGACACUGAAAAGCGAAAGCCAGGGGAGCAAAGCGGG